rnacentral:rRNA from 1 species
UACGUAGGUGGCAAGCGUUGUUCGGAAUUACUGGGCGUAAAGCGUGCGCAGGCGGUUCGUUGUGUCGGUGGUGAAAGCCCCGGGCUUAACCUGGGAAUGGCCAUGGAAACUGGCGAACUAGAGUGUGACAGAGGGGGGUGGAAUUCCACGUGUAGCAGUGAAAUGCGUAGAGAUGUGGAGGAACACCGAUGGCGAAGGCAGCCCCCUGGGUUAACACUGACGCUCAGGCACGAAAGCGUGGGGAGCAAACAGG